rnacentral:rRNA from 1 species
GACGAACGCUGGCGGCGUGCUUAGCACAUGCAAGUCGAACGGAAAGGCCUCUUUCGGGGGGUACUCGAGUGGCGAACGGGUGAGUAACACGUGAGUAACCUGCCCUUGACUUUGGGAUAACUUCAGGAAACUGGGGCUAAUACCGGAUAGGAGCUCCUGCUGCAUGGUGGGGGUUGGAAAGUUUCGGCGGUUGGGGAUGGACUCGCGGCUUAUCAGCUUGUUGGUGGGGUAGUGGCUUACCAAGGCUUUGACGGGUAGCCGGCCUGAGAGGGUGACCGGCCACAUUGGGACUGAGAUACGGCCCAGACUCCUACGGGAGGCAGCAGGGGGGAAUGUUGCACAAUGGGUGGAAGCCUGAUGCAGCAACGCCGUGUGCGGGAUGACGGCCUUCGGGUUGUAAACCGCUUUCGCUCAUGACGAAGCUUUGUGUGACGGUAGUGGGUAAAGAAGCACCGGCUAACUACGUG